GUACUUACCUGGCAGGGGGAUACCAUGAUCACGAAGGUGAUUUUCCGAGCGUGAGGCUUAGCUAUUGCAGUCUGGAUGUGCCGACCCCUGCGAUUUUCCCAAAUGUGGGAAACUCAACUGCUUAAUUUGUGGUAGUGGGGGACUGCGUUUCGUGCUUUCCCCUA
ensembl:snRNA U1 U1 spliceosomal RNA